ensembl:lncRNA
GGAAAAGUUUGGGAACCUCUGCUGUAGAUCAUGUGUUGUUCAUUCAUAAUGUUUUUGUCAUUUUUUCACAAAAAUCAAACUUGAUCUGCGAUUGUGCGCGCAACACUGAAAAGUCACAUGACCAAAGUUAGCAACCACGAUUGAUCAGCUUAAGCUCCGCCCAUGUCGUAUUGACUGACGACCUGUUUGUAAAUCAGUAAAAAUCAGGAUGUUCUCAUGGCAUGUUCUGACACAGAGAUAAGCGUGUGUGUGAAUUUAAGUAGCGUAGCAUAUCAUAGCAUAGCGUAGCAUAGCAUCUCGCCUACCAGAGUGUCCAGGAUGGACAGAUGGACAUCCAGCAUGAACAUUCUGACAGGCUGAGCUAGGGCUCUCUGCAGGCUGUACACCGGCUUCAUCUCCGUUCCUCCAAUCAGUUCUUCAUCCUUCAGGCCUGCUGUGAUUUAUCCUCCUACUGUUUAUUGCUCUUCUCUUCUCUCUUUCUCUCACCGUCUUCCCUUCUUAUGCAUUAAGUUAUAAAUAAAACGAAAAACAAACAAGACUACAAGGCUUUGCUUCCUUCUCUCUCUUCUCUCACCUUGCUACUACUGUAACAGGUGGCAAGCUGAGGCUUGUCUAAUGCACUGUAAUGCGCUCUCUCUCACACACACAUACACACACACCCUCUAUGAAUAAAAGGUUUCCAGGAAUGCGGAGAUGUGGAAAGAAGCAGGUAUUCAUAACACACACACACACACACACACACACACACACACACAAACAAAGUGUGUGAGAGUACUUCUAGACACAAUUCAAUAAAAUAAAUAAAGAAAAGAAAACAAUUUUGUACCAUUUUAUGAGCUUGUACUUGAUUUUGUGGGGUCUAACUGUGUGUGUGUGUGUGUGUGUGUGUGUGUGUGUGUGUGUGUGUGUGUUUCCAGUUGUUCCAAACCCUGAUGUAAACACAGGACAGAAAUAGAGGUCAGAUGCCUGUUUACAGUCCAAGGAUUUAGCAUUUAGCCUUUAAAGCAUACCCUUAAGAAUUUAGCUAGAUAUUUUCUUUACACGAAAACAUCAUAAAGUCAUUCUCACAAAUAAAAUGACGUGAAUCCUAUAAACAUGUCCACUUUAAACAACAUUCCAGCAAAGGAUUAAGAAAACUAAAGCCAGCUCGCUUCCAACAGAUUCUGAGAUAAGAAACAAAUGAACAAAGUUUUGCUAUUGUUCACCUGUUGGCUAUUUUUGCUAACAGCAACACUUCAGUGUUACAUUACACCUGAAUUCCACUCAAACAAACAAAGAAAAACACCGAUUUGAUUAUCCAAAGACAAUCAGAUCGACCUUGUGCUAAGAUCUUAGCCACCAUUUUCUACCACUCAUGCUAACUGGUGGUUAGCAGAGGGUUACUAGCUUCCAGACUAGCUGCUAGUUUGCAGGCUCGGGUGUAAUCCUCUGCCCUUCUAUUAUACAAGAACCACAAAAGCAAGUGCAUAUAGUGUAAAUUACAAAACAAAGCCAGUGAGAUAUGCUAAACGAUAAAUGACAGAUUCUGAACAGGAUUAUAAGAAAAAUUGUAGAUAUUCCUAGCAAGAGCAAGUUUUCUGAGGAAGUGAGGAAGAGUGAGAAAGAGUGAAGGACGGUUUAAGGUCAUCGUGAUUGAGAAAAGGGAAAUCCUUUUCCUCAGAUGACGCAGAUCGUAGAUCCUAAUGCUAACGACCAUGUCCCUGAACACACACCUUCCUGCCAAAACAGGAAGUGAACUUUCACCUGCCUAGAAAAUUUCUGUGCAUAAUACAAAUCACUCUCCUUAAAGCUAAUUAAUGUUUGCUAGCAUGCUUGCUAAACGUAACCACAGAAACAACUUCUGAAUAAAUUUGGUAGAUUUAUUCCACAGUAUUCGUGACGCUUUUGUCUGCCACGUUUUUUUUGUUUGUUUGUUUGUUUUUGUAUUAUGGGAUAGCAUUCGCAGAAGAAGUGUUAAAAACGAUUAACUGAAACCUUCACUGUUAACAUUCUAGUAUUUUAGCAGUUUUAUAUCAAAAGACAGACACACAUCCAGUCAGAAUAGUAUGUGUGUGUGUGUGUGUGUGUGUGUGUGUGUGUAAAAUGUUGGACAGAUAGAUGAUAGUAAUGUCGGCAGAAUAAAAGGAAAACAGCAUGUGUGUAUAUGGUUGCUGUAAUAAAUAACUACACACCCACACACACCCACACACACGCACACAGAGAUCAAAGUUCAAGGCUAUGAGUUAAAUUAGUUUAGACCAGGCACUGCUUACACACACAUUCAAUAUACGGUAUAAGACCAAGUCAUAAAAGCUCAAUCACAUUUUAUCCAGAGGAAUGGAAAUACACACACGCACCCACACACACACACACACAAUUAAAAAAUUCUCAAUGUAUAUUCUCAGAAAUAUUUUUUUAAAAUAUAGAAUCAUGCAUAUAUCAACAAUAUUAAUCAUGAAGUAACAAAAAAUCUGUUGAAUCUGGGUGCCAAAACUUUUGGUAUUGGUGGACAGAAGGAGAAAAAAAUAACUGUCAUUAUGAAAUAAAACUUGCUUGAUCGCUUAAUAGGUGAACAUUAAAGUUACCCAAUUUUCAUAAAAGACAUUUUUAUUUUUUAACAAUUUUGCUUAAAUCUGAAAGAAAUUUCAGACUUUUUCAGGGAUUUUGUUGCAUUCUUUUAAGAAAUAUCUGAAUAAUCUGAGUUAGUGCUGUCGCAUCAUUUAAAAAAGCCAAUCAGAGUCCAAAAUUAAAAUAUGCACCAAAUACAGUCUCUGAAACAUCAGCUUACCAGGAAAAGGGAUGGGGCUUGGAAUGUUAAGGGAGGGGCCCUGAUUUGCAUAUUCAUAAAAUCUGUAAAGGUAAAACUGUAGCUGCUUCAGUGUGUUUUUUCUGUCAAAUCUCUCUCUCUCUCUCUCUCUCUCUCUCUCUCUCUCUCACACACACACACCCACACACACACAUACACUUUCUGUGCCCACUGUACAAUAUUACCCAGGAUGCACUGCAGGAGGCCUACCAGGAGACAGAUGGAGCAUCAAGUGCAGUGAACAGCAACAUAUGAGCUCGAUUUGCUCAAUUACACCUCGUUACACACACACAUACACACACACAUCUCAGACAGUAAAUCAUCUCCAUCUGUCCAUGACAUCAUCAUGAGUUCAAAACAAAAAGACAGAUAUGAAUCACACAAAGAGCAGAGUGAAGAAGAGGGUGUGGCCUGUGUGUCUGGCAGUCACAGUGAAGGAGGCGUGGCCUGUGUGUCUGGCAAUGAAAUGCUAAUUAAUCUGAUGAGUGAGAACAGCAAUAUGACACACACACAUCCUGACUGAUAGAUCCAAUAUGCCUUUGAGUGUGUGUUUAUGUGUGUGUGUGUGUGUGUGUGUGUGUGUGUGUGUGUGUGCGCAAACAAAUUGACUCAGACAUAAUCAGAAACUCAGGGCAAGAUCGUAUUAAGACCGUUAAUUAAUGACCCAAAACUUCACACUCCAACAAGAAGAGACAAGCUAAUGUGUGUGUUUGUUUGUGUGUUUGCUUGUGUGUGUGUGUGUGUUCGUGUGUGUGUGUGUGUAUGUGUGUCUUUCAUGUGAAAAGAUAGAAACACCCUUCAGUGUAAAUGUCUGUCUAUAUUGGAUCUCUGGCAGCUCAAUAAUAUUACACAAAUAGAUAGAGAACAGACACGCACACACGCACAAACACACACACACACACACACACACACACACACACACACACACACACUGCAUGAAUGGCUUUUGUGUCCUGACAACAAAGACAUUGGCUGAGACAGAAAAAAACGAUCAUUUCUUUCUCUGAAAGACUGAAAUCACAAUGAUGGACAUUCUGGCUCACACACACACACACACACACACACACACACACACACACACAAAGUUAGAAUAAUCAAAGGAAUAAAGAAAAACAAAACAAAAAGAGAACCAUGUGACUCUCAGACAACACCUGGGAGAGUAAGGUGGUUUUGUGGUCUGGCGUGUUGAAUGAAUUAUUGAGUUGCUGUGAGGUGUUUAGACCACCUUAAACACACAUACAACACACAUCUAAUCUACACAUCUGAAACAAAACCACUAACACUGCUGCUAGAGGGAAAAUCCAGCUGUUUGCAUCUGUGUGUGUGUGUGUGUGUGUGUGUGUGUGUGUGUGUUUGUGUGAGGAAAACAGCUCAUCCUCACAGCUGCUGUCUCAAUUUUGCACAACAGUGUGUUCCUGAAACUCUUUGCACAGUUCUGCUCUCUCUCUCUCACACACACACACACACACACACACACACACACACACACACACACACAAAUAUUAACGCAAACACUGACUCAAUAAAAUACACUAAUCAUAACACUCAUACAAUUACAUACACACAAAUACAAUGCUAAAAACUGUAAUACACAUACACAUCAGUACACAGUAACACAAUAAUACACACUGUGAUAUAUACUGUAUCAUACAUACACACACACACACACAUACACAGAGAGUACCCUGUGAAUAGUGUUAUUGAGCUGUAUAGCGCAGGAAUGGUGCACACCCUGGUGGUCAGUGGUGGUAGUAACACACACAGUAAGUGUUUAACACACUGAGUGUUCAGGUUUUUCUGUCUGUCCAGGACAGUGAUUAAACAUUUUACACAACAUUUAUUAAACAAUUAAUUCAGUAAUAAUAAUAAAAAACAAUCCUUAGGGAAAAAAAGCACCAAAGUGUCCCAUGCUUAAAGUGUCCCAUCACCAAUCUGCCCCGACCCCUAUCUGCCCUACCCCCAAACUGCCCCACGCCAAAUCUGCCCCAUAGUCAACAUGUCCUGAUCGCAGAUGAAUUGGAAAAAUGUGAUGGAUGUCACUAACCUCAUCUACCUGCUGCACAUUCAGCUUUCACACAUUUCUACAAUUUAUAUUCAGCUUCAUUCCAUAUUGUGUAAACAUUUACUGAAUGUUUAAACAUUUCAACCUAACAGAAAAGAAGAGGACAAAGAAAGAAAGAAAGAAAGAAAGAAAAACUACCGUUCUGGUCUCUCUGCCUCAGAGAUUAGGAGAUUUGGUACUGUACUCAGUCUCCAUAGUAACUGCGAUGUGUUUGGGGUGCGCACACACACACACACACACACACACACUCCUGAACAGCUGGAGGCAAACCGGUACCUCAGGAGGCUCCAUUGCCAGAGUUUUUGUCUGAAUUGUGGCUGUUUUUAUUUUUCAUAUGAACAGAGACGUAAAGUUCUCAAUCCUGCACUCAUCUUCAUGUAGAAAUGUGUGUGAUUAUAACAGCUUUAUUAUUAUUAUCUUUCUAACAAGAUAAAUAAAUAUUGUGUCAAUAUAUAAAUGUAUAAUAUAAACGUAAAUAUUAUGUAAAUAGAUGAAAAUGUGUUUAUGUGUUCAUUCACUCCUCUGUUCAUGAUCUGUGUUAUCCAGGUCGGAGUCAGAGUCGGAGUCAGAGUCAGAGCAGAGUCAGAGUGGAGACAGAGUCGGAGUGGAAUCAGAGUGGACUCAGAGUCAGAGGGGAGACAGAGUCGGAGUGGAGUCAGAGUGGAGACAGAGACAGAGUCAGAGUGGAGUCAGAGUCGGAGUGGGGUUGGAGUCAGAGAGGAAUCAGAGUCAGAGUGGAGUUGGAGUCAGAGUGGAGUUGGAGUCAGAGUGGAGUUGGAGUCAGAGUGGAGUCAGAGUCAGAGUGGAGUCAGAGUCAGAGUGAAGACAGAGUCAGAGUCGGAGUGGAGUCAGAGUCGGAGUGGAGUCAGAGUCAGAGUGGAGUCGGAGUGGAGUCGGAGUCAGAGUGGAGACAGAGUCAGAACGGAGACAGAGUCAGAGUGGAGUCAGAGUGGAGUCAGAGUCGGAGUGGAGUCAGAGACAGAGUGGAGACAGAGUCAGAGUGGAGACAGAGUCAGAGUGGAGUCAGAGUCGGAGUGGAGUCGGAGUCAGAGUGGAAUCAGAGUCAGAGUCAGAGUGGAGACAGAGUCAGAGUGGAAUCAGAGUCAGAGUGGAGACAGAGUGGAGUCAGAGUCGGAGUGGAGUCAGAGGAAAAGUGGAGUUGGAGUCAGAGUGGAAUCAGAGUCAGAGUGGAGUUGGAGUCAGAGUGGAAUCAGAGUCAGAGUGGAGUUGGAGUCAGAGUGGAAUCAGAGUCAGAGUGGAGUCAGAGUGGAGACAGAGUGGAGUCAAAGUCAGAGUGGAGACAGAGUGGAGUCAGAGUCAGAGUGGAGUCAGAGUCUUAGUGGAGUUGGAGUCAGAGUGGAAUCAGAGUCGGAGUCGGAGUGGAGUUGGAGUUAGAGUGGAAUCAGAGUCAGAGUCUUAGUGGAGUUGGAGUCAGAGUGGAAUCAGAGUCGGAGACGGAGUCAGAGUGGAGUCAGAGUCAGAGUGGAGUCAGAGUCAGAGUGAAAUCAGAGUCAGAGUCGGAGUGGAGUUGGAGACAGUGUGGAGUCAGAGUGGAGACAGAGUCAGAGUGGAGUCAGAGUGGAGUCAGAAUCAGAGUGUAGUCAGAGUGGAGACAGAGUUGAGUCGGAGCAGAGUCAGAGUCGGCGCGGAGUCAGAGUCGGAGAGGAGUUGGAGUGGAGUCAGAGUCAGAGUCGGAAUGGAGUUGGAGUCAGAGUGGAGUCAGUGUGGAUUAAGAGACGGAGUGGAGUUGGAGUCAGAGUGGAAUUAGAGUCAGAGUCAGAGUGGAGAUGGAGUCAGAGUGGAGACAGAGUCGGAGUGGAGUCAGAGUCAGAGUGAAGACAGAGACAGAGUCAGAGUGGAAUCAGAGUCAGAGUCAGAAUGGAGUUGGAGUCAGAGUGGAAUCAGAGUCAGAGUGGAGUCAGAGUCAGAGUGGAGUUGGAGUCAGAGUGGAAUCAGAGUCAGAGUCAGACUGGAGUCAGAGUCAGAGUGGAGACAGAGUCAGAGUGGAGACAGAGUCAGAGUGGAGUCAGAGUGGAGUUGGAGUCAGAGUGGAAUCAGAGUCAGAGUCAGACUGGAGUCAGAGUCAGAGUGGAGUCAGAGUGGAGUCGGAGUCAGUGUGGAGACAGAGUCAGAGUGGAGACAGAGUGGAGUUGGAGUCAGAGUGGAAGUGGAGACAGAGUGGAGUCAGAGUCAGAGUGGAGACAGAGUGGAGUCAGAGUCAGAGUGGAGUCAGAGUCUUAGUGGAAGUCGGAAUGGAGUUGGAGUCAGAGUCGAGUCAGAGUGGAGUCAGAGUUAGAGUGGAGACAGAGUCAAGUCAGAGUCGGAGCGGAGUCAGAGUCAGAGUCGGCUCAGAGUCGGAGUGGAGUCGGAGUCAGAGUGGAGUCAGAGUCGGAAUGGAGUUGGAGUCAGAGUGGAGUCAGUGACGGACUCAAGAGUUAGUGUGGAGUCAGAGUUGGAGUGGAGACGGAGUCGGAGUGGAGUUGGAGUCAGAGUGGAAUCAGAGUCAGAGUCGGAGUGGAGUUGGAGUCAGAGUGGAAUCAGAGUCAAGAUCGGAGUGGAGUUCGAGUCAGAGUGGAAUCAGAGUCAGAGUCAGAGUGGAGUUGGAAUCAAGAGUGGAGUCAGAGUCAGAGUGGAGACAGAGUCAGAGUGAAGACAGAGUCAGAGUGGAGUCAGAGUCAGAGUGAAAUCAGAGUCAGAGUUGGAGUGGAGUUGGAGACAGAGUGGAGUCAGAGUCAGAGUGGAGUCAGAGUGGAGUCAGAAUCAGAGUGUAGUCAGAGUCGAGUCAGGGUGGAGUCAGAGUCAGAGCGGAGUCAGAGUCAGAGUCGGCUCAGAGUCGGAGUGGAGUCGGAGUCAGAGUGGAGUCAGAGUCGGAAUGGAGUUGGAGUCAGAGUGGAGUCAGUGUGGAGUAAGAGACGGAGUGGAGUUGGAGUCAGAGUGGAAGUGGAGUCAGAGUCGGAGUGGAGUCAGAGUCAGAGUGGAGACAGAGACAGAGUCAGAGUGGAGUCAGAGUCGGAGUGGAGUUGCAGUCAGAGUGGAAUCAGAGUCAGAGUCAGAAUGGAGUUGGAGUCAGAGUGGAAUCAGAGUCAGAGUCGGAGUGGAGUUGGAGUCAGAGUGGAGUCAGAAUCAAAGUGGAGUCAGAGUGGAGUCAGAAUCAGAGUGGAGUCAGAGUGGAGACAGAGUCGAGUGGGAGUCGGAGCGGAGUCAGAGUCGGGGCGGAGUCAGAGUCAGAGUGGAAUCAGAGUCAGAGUCGGAGUGGAGUUGGAGUCAGAGUGGAGUCAGAGUGGAAUCAGAGUUGGAAUCAGAGUCAGAGUCAGAGUGGAGUCAGACUCAGAGUGGAGUUGGAGUCAGAGUGGAAUCAGAGUCAGAGUCAGAGUGGAGACAGAGUCAGAGUGGAGUCAGAGUCAAAGUGGAGACAGAGUCGGAGUGGAGCCAGAGUGGAGUCAGAGUCAGAAUGAAGACAGAGACAGAGUCAGAGCGGAGUCAGAGUCGGAGUGGAGUUGGAGUGGAGUCAGAGUGGAGUCAGAGUCAGAGUGGAGUCGGAAUGGAGUUGGAGUCAGAGUGGAGUCAGAGUCGGAGUGGAGUCGGAGUCAGAGUGGUGUAAUUAGUAAUUUAUAUUUUGGGAAACAGACCCAAGUAAAUUAGUGAGAAAUAAUGGUCAUGAGAAACAAACAUAAAUAAUAACUGCUGCAACUGAUAAAAAAUCCAGUCCUGUGUGUCUCCAGCUCGAUGUGUUGAUUUUACAUUCUAUACACUAAUAAUAAACACUUUGUCCAGUUACAUAUGCAUGUGUUUUUGUGUAUGUGUAUGUGUAUGUGUGUGAGUCAGUGUUUAAAGACCAUUCUGAAUUAAACAGAAGAGACCGAGUGUGUUCUAGCGGUUUCUCUAGUGAGAAACUGUAUAUUUGUGAUAAGUGGAACAUCCAAGACAACAGCAGCGCGUCGAUAAAAACUUCACAGAGGAGACAGAGCUGAAGACAAACGUCCUCAGAGAGACAGUGUGUGUGUGUGUGUGUGUGUUGGAGAUCAAAGGUGUGGUGCAUCAUCCAGUUCAUAACGACUCAUCACACACUCGUCAGUGGCGUUAAAGUCAAUAACGAUAAUAAAUCUCAUUUUACACUUUACUCUGUGCUGUUUUCACAACCCACCAUGCUUUGCUUUCCUGAGCAGUAAAGAAGUGGCUGGAGUCAAGCGCCCCCUGGAGGUGUGUCUAUAACAUGACUGACAGCACGGACCUGUUUUUUUUUCUUUUUCUUUGACCUUUUUUUCUUCUUUCACUUGCUUUGGAUUCUACGUUUUUAACAGAUGUUUCUUUGUCAUCACCGAUAUUUAUUUAUUUGUAGUGGUAAGAACAAUUAAAAAAAAAAAAAUCCUCACUGCACCUUUCAGGUCGGACCAUUAUUCCAAACUAGAGACUUUUCUUUCAUUACUACUGAAUCUACUCGUUCUGGAAGCCAUAAUAAGAAACACGGGCCUGUAAUUCUUUUCUGUACACGCUGCACAGCUAACUCCUGAAACAAGAACACAUUGUUAUGCUAAUGACAGCGUUAGCUGCAGUGAGCUUAACACUAACACACACACAGAGUGUUUGAUCCCGUGUAACGAGCUGAAAUUUGUGUGUGUACCUGUGUAUCCAGCAUCAUCAUCAUCACCACCAUCCACAGCUCAUAUCUCCUUCUUCCUCCUCCUCCUCCUCUUGGUCAGUUCUCACGGUCUCGUAGGGUUUCAAUCCAACCCGUCCUCCAGCAGCACUCGGGAAAGCACGCACGCUCUCUGGAACGCACUCCGGAGUGUAACUAGGGGUCAUCAGAGGUCAUCCACUACAAACACAUCCAGCACAGUGAAUGUCCGAGGGGGAGAAAGUGCAAAAAUCCAGCACUGUUUAUUUCACCACCACCACCACCACCCCACCCCCCCUUUAACC